rnacentral:rRNA from 1 species
CCUACGGGAGGCAGCAGUGAGGAAUAUUGGUCAAUGGACGAGAGUCUGAACCAGCCAAGUAGCGUGAAGGAUGACUGCCCUAUGGGUUGUAAACUUCUUUUAUAUGGGAAUAAAAUGUUCCACGUGUGGGAUUUUGUAUGUACCAUAUGAAUAAGGAUCGGCUAACUCCGUGCCAGCAGCCGCGGUAAUACGGAGGAUCCGAGCGUUAUCCGGAUUUAUUGGGUUUAAAGGGAGCGUAGGUGGAUUGUUAAGUCAGUUGUGAAAGUUUGCGGCUCAACCGUAAAAUUGCAGUUGAAACUGGCAGUCUUGAGUACAGUAGAGGUGGGCGGAAUUCGUGGUGUAGCGGUGAAAUGCUUAGAUAUCACGAAGAACUCCGAUUGCGAAGGCAGUUCACUGGACUGCAACUGACACUGAGGCUCGAAAGUGUGGGUAUCAAACAGGAUUGGAUACCCCAGUAGUC